AGUACACGAAGUGGUUGAUGCCAUGCUUCCAAGAAGAGCUUCUAAGCUUCAGGUAACCAGGAACCGUACCCCAAACCGACACAGGUGGUUGGGUAGAGAAUACCAAGGCGCUUGAGAGAACUCGGGUGAAGGAACUAGGCAAAAUGGCACCGUAACUUCGGGAGAAGGUGCGCCGGUGAGGGUGAAGCAUUUACUGCGUAAGCCCAUGCCGGUCGAAGAUACCAGGCCGCUGCGACUGUUUAUUAAAAGCACAGGACUCUGCAAACACGAAAGUGGACGUAUAGGGUGUGACGCCUGCCCGGGGCCGGAAGGUUAAUUGAUGGGGUUAGCUAACGCGAAGCUCUUGAUCGAAGCCCCGGUAAACGGCGGCCGUAACUAUAACGGUCCUAAGGUAGCGAAAUUCCUUGUCGGGUAAGUUCCGACCUGCACGAAUGGCGUAACGAUGGCGGCGCUGUCUCCACCCGAGACUCAGUGAAAUUGAAAUCGCUGUGAAGAUGCAGUGUAUCCGCGGCUAGACGGAAAGACCCCGUGAACCUUUACUAUAGCUUUGCACUGGACUUUGAAUUUGCUUGUGUAGGAUAGGUGGGAGGCUUUGAAGCGUGGACGCCAGUUCGCGUGGAGCCAACCUUGAAAUACCACCCUGGCAACUUUGAGGUUCUAACUCAGGUCCGUUAUCCGGAUCGAGGACAGUGUAUGGUGGGUAGUUUGACUGGGGCGGUCUCCUCCUAAAGAGUAACGGAGGAGUACGAAGGUGCGCUCAGACCGGUCGGAAAUCGGUCGUAGAGUAUAAAGGCAAAAGCGCGCUUGACUGCGAGACAGACACGUCGAGCAGGUACGAAAGUAGGUCUUAGUGAUCCGGUGGUUCUAUGGAAGGGCCAUCGUUCAACGGAUAAAAGGUACUCCGGGGAUAACAGGCUGAUACCGCCCAAGAGUUCAUAUCGACGGCGGUGUUUGGCACCUCGAUGUCGGCUCAUCACAUCCUGGGGCUGAAGCCGGUCCCAAGGGUAUGGCUGUUCGCCAUUUAAAGUGGUACGCGAGCUGGGUUUAGAACGUCGUGAGACAGUUCGGUCCCUAUCUGCCGUGGACGUUUGAGAUUUGAGAGGGGCUGCUCCUAGUACGAGAGGACCGGAGUGGACGAACCUCUGGUGUUCCGGUUGCCACGCCAGUGGCAUUGCCGGGUAGCUAUGUUCGGAAUAGAUAACCGCUGAAAGCAUCUAAGCGGGAAACUAGCCUCAAGAUGAGAUCUCACUGGGACCUUGAGUCCCCUGAAGGGCCGUCGAAGACUACGACGUUGAUAGGUUGGGUGUGUAAGCGCUGUGAGGCGUUGAGCUAACCAAUACUAAUUGCCCGUGAGGCUUGACCAG
rnacentral:rRNA from 1 species